GCGGUUGUAGUACAGCUUGGUUAAUAUGCGGGAUUGCCAAUUCCGCGACCCGGGUUCAAAUCCCGGCAACCGCA
rfam:Thaumarchaeota archaeon 13_1_40CM_3_38_6 13_1_40cm_3_scaffold_537, whole genome shotgun sequence.